UUUCUGUUAGAAAAGUCUAAUUUCUAAACCAGAGAACCCAAAUCUUAGGAAAAGAGCCAUUCUCCAAUUGAUAAAUGGCUAAGGGAUAGGACAGAGUGCCGGGCCCGCAGUCAGGCCUCAUCGUCCUUUCUCUGAAUGUGACAGAGAGGAUAGUGUGGCUUCAGAGAAACUGGGGAGACUUGUGUGAACUGAUACAGAGGGAACUAAGCAGAACCGGGACAACAACUUACACGGCAACAACAGUCUUGUAAAGACAAACAACCCUGAAAGACUUCAGAUUAAUGCGGGGACCAGCCAUGACUCCAGGGGAUUCAAGGUGAAACACGAAUCCCACUUCUUAGCAGAGAGUUCUGCAAAGUCUGCCGCCUCCAGAUCACUUAAUGCCAUGUCGAUUUCCAUCUAAGAAAAGAACACAACACAAACAGAAUCCAAAAUUAUGAGGAAUACAUUCACCGGCAAAUUGCUGAGGAGGUAAAAUACCAACGUUCUUCUUGCUGGUCCCUUCAGCACGGCAUUUUGUACAAAAACCAUGCUGAUCUGACUGCCUGAAUGGAUAAAGAAGAGAAUGAAGCCCCCCUGGCAUCUGGCACAGGACAAUUAUCCAACUGAACCAUUGGGAACUCUGCCGUCAUGGAGGAUUUUGGUUUUGUUGCUAUAGAAUGUCCCAGAGUGUCUGACUCCCUCUCAGAGGUAGCCAAACUGUAAGGAGAGUUCAAAGCAGUUUUAUUUUUGCUACAUAAAUUUAAACUGGCCGGGAGGCUGGGGCUGAGGUUGGUUGACAAAUGUGCUGCUCAUUGGGAGGCAACAUUUUUUUAUAAAAAGCCAAGACAUUUCCUACAGGGCUGGGGGAAACACAAUGCUGGCCGAGAUGAAAGAACCUUCUGGAACAUUAGUCAGGCCUCUUAACGUGUCCAUACUCAUUGAUGACCCAUCUUUUUCACCAUCUAACACAGACUCUGUAGUUUCGUGUGUGUGUGUGUGUGUGUGUGUGUGUGUGUGUGUGUGUGUGUUUUGUGAAGGAGAUUCCCAGUUUCAGACACUGGCCAGUGGGUGUGCUGCCCCCACAACUUAAAUAUGACACUUAAUGCCCCAGUAUUUCUCUAGUUGGCCCCAAUACCCUUUAAGAAAAAAAUGUAAUGUUAUUGUUUCUUCUCUUACCUACUCCAG